rnacentral:rRNA from 1 species
AUUGAACGCUGGCGGCAUGCUUUACACAUGCAAGUCGAACGGUAACAGGCCGCAAGGUGCUGACGAGUGGCGAACGGGUGAGUAAUGCAUCGGAACGUGCCCAGUCGUGGGGGAUAACGCAGCGAAAGCUGCGCUAAUACCGCAUACGAUCUGUGGAUGAAAGCGGGGGACCGUAAGGCCUCGCGCGAUUGGAGCGGCCGAUGUCAGAUUAGGUAGUUGGUGGGGUAAAGGCUCACCAAGCCAACGAUCUGUAGCUGGUCUGAGAGGACGACCAGCCACACUGGGACUAGGACACGGCCCAGACUCCUACGGGAGGCAGCAGUGGGGAAUUUUGGACAAUGGGCGCAAGCCUGAUCCAGCAAUGCCGCGUGCAGGAAGAAGGCCUUCGGGUUGUAAACUGCUUUUGUACGGAACGAAAAGGCUCUGGUUAAUACCUGGGGCUCAUGACGGUACCGUAAGAAUAAGCACCGGCUAACUACGUGCCAGCCGCCGCGGUAACAC